UACAGAGGUCUCAAGCGUUGUUCGGAUUCAUUGGGCGUAAAGGGUGCGUAGGCGGCGCGGUAAGUCGGGUGUGAAAUCUCGGAGCUUAACUCCGAAACUGCAUUCGAUACUGCCGUGCUUGAGGACUGGAGAGGAGACUGGAAUUUACGGUGUAGCGGUGAGAUGCGUAGAUAUCGUAAGGAAGACCAGUGGCGAAGGCGGGUCUCUGGACAGUUCCUGACACUGAGGCACGAAGGCCAGGGGGAGCAAACGGG
rnacentral:rRNA from 1 species